rnacentral:rRNA from 1 species
GGGUUGUGAGGUUAAGCGACUAAGCGUACACGGUGGAUGCCCUGGCAGUCAGAGGCGAUGAAGGACGUGCUAAUCUGCGAAAAGCGUCGGUAAGGUGAUAUGAACCGUUAUAACCGGCGAUGUCCGAAUGGGGAAACCCAGUGCAAUUCGUUGCACUAUCGUUAACUGAAUACAUAGGUUAACGAGGCGAACCGGGGGAACUGAAACAUCUAAGUACCCCGAGGAAAAGAAAUCAACCGAGAUUCCCCCCAGUAGCGGCGAGCGAACGGGGAGCAGCCCAGAGUCUGAAUCAGCUUGUGUGUUAGUGGAACGGUCUGGAAAGUCCGACGGUACAGGGUGAUAGUCCCGUACACCAAAAUGCACAGGUUGUGAACUCGAAGAGUAGGGCGGGACACGUGGUAUCCUGUCUGAAUAUGGGGGGACCAUCCUCCAAGGCUAAAUACUCCUGACUGACCGAUAGUGAACCAGUACCGUGAGGAAAGGCGAAAAGAACCCCGGCGAGGGGAGUGAAAAAGAACCUGAAACCGUGUACGUACAAGCAGUGGGAGCACCUUCGGGUGUGACUGCGUACCUUUUGUAUAAUGGGUCAGCGACUUAUAUUCUGUAGCAAGGUUAACCGUAUAGGGGAGCCGCAGGGAAACCGAGUCUUAACUGGGCGUUAAGUUGCAGGGUAUAGACCCGAAACCCGGUGAUCUAGCCAUGGGCAGGUUGAAGGUUGGGUAACACUAACUGGAGGACCGAACCGACUAAUGUUGAAAAAUUAGCGGAUGACUUGUGGCUGGGGGUGAAAGGCCAAUCAAACCGGGAGAUAGCUGGUUCUCCCCGAAAGCUAUUUAGGUAGCGCCUCGUGAAUUCAUCUUCGGGGGUAGAGCACUGUUUCGGCUAGGGGGUCAUCCCGACUUACCAACCCGAUGCAAACUACGAAUACCGAAGAAUGUUAUCACGGGAGACACACGGCGGGUGCUAACGUCCGUCGUGAAGAGGGAAACAACCCAGACCGCCAGCUAAGGUCCCAAAGUCAUGGUUAAGUGGGAAACGAUGUGGGAAGGCACAGACAGCCAGGAUGUUGGCUUAGAAGCAGCCAUCAUUUAAAGAAAGCGUAAUAGCUCACUGGUCGAGUCGGCCUGCGCGGAAGAUGUAACGGGGCUAAACCAUGCACCGAAGCUGCGGCAGCGACGCUUAUGCGUUGUUGGGUAGGGGAGCGUUCUGUAAGCCUGCGAAGGUGGCCUGUGAGGGCUGCUGGAGGUAUCAGAAGUGCGAAUGCUGACAUAAGUAACGAUAAAGCGGGUGAAAAGCCCGCUCGCCGGAAGACCAAGGGUUCCUGUCCAACGUUAAUCGGGGCAGGGUGAGUCGACCCCUAAGGCGAGGCCGAAAGGCGUAGUCGAUGGGAAACAGGUUAAUAUUCCUGUACUUGGUGUUACUGCGAAGGGGGGACGGAGAAGGCUAUGUUAGCCGGGCGACGGUUGUCCCGGUUUAAGCAUGUAGGCGGAGGUUCCGGUAAAUCCGGUACCUUUAACGCUGAGGUGUGAUGACGAGGCACUACGGUGCUGAAGUAACAAAUGCCCUGCUUCCAGGAAAAGCCUCUAAGCAUCAGGUAACAUUAAAUCGUACCCCAAACCGACACAGGUGGUCAGGUAGAGAAUACCAAGGCGCUUGAGAGAACUCGGGUGAAGGAACUAGGCAAAAUGGUGCCGUAACUUCGGGAGAAGGCACGCUGGUGUGUAGGUGAAGUCCCUGCGGAUGGAGCUGAGACCAGUCGAAGAUACCAGCUGGCUGCAACUGUUUAUUAAAAACACAGCACUGUGCAAACACGAAAGUGGACGUAUACGGUGUGACGCCUGCCCGGUGCCGGAAGGUUAAUUGAUGGGGUUAUCCGUAAGGAGAAGCUCUUGAUCGAAGCCCCGGUAAACGGCGGCCGUAACUAUAACGGUCCUAAGGUAGCGAAAUUCCUUGUCGGGUAAGUUCCGACCUGCACGAAUGGCGUAAUGAUGGCCGGCUGUCUCCACCCGAGACUCAGUGAAAUUGAACUCGCUGUGAAGAUGCAGUGUACCCGCGGCAAGACGGAAAGACCCCGUGAACCUUUACUAUAGCUUGACACUGAACAUUGAGCCUUGAUGUGUAGGAUAGGUGGGAGGCUUUGAAGCGUGGACGCCAGUCUGCGUGGAGCCAACCUUGAAAUACCACCCUUUAAUGUUUGAUGUUCUAACGUUGGCCCCUUAUCGGGGUUGCGGACAGUGUCUGGUGGGUAGUUUGACUGGGGCGGUCUCCUCCCAAAGAGUAACGGAGGAGCACGAAGGUUAGCUAAUCUGGUCGGACAUCAGGAGGUUAGUGCAAUGGCAUAAGCUAGCUUGACUGCGAGCGUGACGGCGCGAGCAGGUGCGAAAGCAGGUCAUAGUGAUCCGGUGGUUCUGAAUGGAAGGGCCAUCGCUCAACGGAUAAAAGGUACUCCGGGGAUAACAGGCUGAUACCGCCCAAGAGUUCAUAUCGACGGCGGUGUUUGGCACCUCGAUGUCGGCUCAUCACAUCCUGGGGCUGAAGUAGGUCCCAAGGGUAUGGCUGUUCGCCAUUUAAAGUGGUACGCGAGCUGGGUUUAGAACGUCGUGAGACAGUUCGGUCCCUAUCUGCCGUGGGCGCUGGAGAAUUGAGGGGGGCUGCUCCUAGUACGAGAGGACCGGAGUGGACGCAUCACUGGUGUUCGGGUUGUCAUGCCAAUGGCACUGCCCGGUAGCUAAAUGCGGAAGAGAUAAGUGCUGAAAGCAUCUAAGCACGAAACUUGCCCCGAGAUGAGUUCUCCCUGAGACUUUAAGUCUCCUGAAGGAACGUUGAAGACGACGACGUUGAUAGGCCGGGUGUGUAAGCGCAGCGAUGCGUUGAGCUAACCGGUACUAAUGAACCGUGAGGCUUAACCUUACAACGCCGAAGCUGUU